CCUACGGGAGACAGCAGUGGGGGAUAUUGCACAAUGGGGGGAACCCUGAUGCAGCGACGCCGCGUGGGUGAAGAAGCGCCUCGGCGCGUAAAGCCCUGUCAGCAGGGAAGAAAAUGACGGUACCUGUAGAAGAAGCCCCGGCUAACUACGUGCCAGCAGCCGCGGUAAUACGUAGGGGGCAAGCGUUAUCCGGAUUUACUGGGUGUAAAGGGGGCGCAGACGGCGAUGCAAGACAGGAGUGAAAGCCCGGGGCACAACCCCGGGACUGCUCUUGAAACUGCGUGGCUUGAGUGUAGGAGGGGCAGGCGGAAUUCCUGGUGUAGCGGUGAAAUGCGUAGAUAUCAGGAGGAACACCGGUGGCGAAGGCGGCCUGCUGGACUGCAACUGACGUUGAGGCCCGAAAGCGUGGGGAGCAAACAGGAUUAGAUACCCGUGUAGUC
rnacentral:rRNA from 1 species